rnacentral:rRNA from 1 species
UACGGAGGGAGCUAGCGUUGUUCGGAAUUACUGGGCGUAAAGCGCACGUAGGCGGCUUUGUAAGUUAGAGGUGAAAGCCUGGGGCUCAACUCCAGAAUUGCCUUUAAGACUGCAUCGCUUGAAUCCGGGAGAGGUGAGUGGAAUUCCGAGUGUAGAGGUGAAAUUCGUAGAUAUUCGGAAGAACACCAGUGGCGAAGGCGGCUCACUGGACCGGUAUUGACACUGAGGCACGAGAGCAUGGGUAGCGAACAGG